GCUCGACUAGGCGAGCCUAAAUAGAACUUAAGCCUAGUGCGUCCGGGACUUCGGUUCCGGGGUGUGG
rnacentral:ribozyme from 1 species